rnacentral:rRNA from 1 species
AACGAACGCUGGCGGCAUGCCUAACACAUGCAAGUCGAACGAAGGCUUCGGCCUUAGUGGCGCACGGGUGAGUAACGCGUGGGAAACUGCCUAUUGGUGGGGAAUAACGACGGGAAACUGUCGCUAAUACCGCAUAAGCCCUUCGGGGGGAAGAUUUAUCGCCGAUAGAUGUGCCCGGGUCCGAUUAGCUAGUUGGUGAGGUAAUGGCUCACCAAGGCGACGAUCGGUAGCUGGUCUGAGAGGAUGAUCAGCCACACUGGGACUGAGACACGGCCCAGACUCCCACGGGAGGCAGCAGUGGGGAAUAUUGGACAAUGGGCGAAAGCCUGAUCCAGCAAUGCCGCGUGAGUGAUGAAGGCCUUAGGGUCGUAAAGCUCUUUCGGGUGGGACGAUAAUGACGGUACCACCAGAAGAAGCCCCGGCUAACUUCGUGCCAGCAGCCGCCGUAA